AGUGAACGCUGGCGGUAGGCCUAACACAUGCAAGUCGAACGGCAGCACAGUAAGAGCUUGCUCUUACGGGUGGCGAGUGGCGGACGGGUGAGGAAUACAUCGGAAUCUACUUUUUCGUGGGGGAUAACGUAGGGAAACUUACGCUAAUACCGCAUACGACCUACGGGUGAAAGCAGGGGAUCUUCGGACCUUGCGCGAUUGAAUGAGCCGAUGUCGGAUUAGCUAGUUGGCGGGGUAAAGGCCCACCAAGGCGACGAUCCGUAGCUGGUCCGAGAGGAUGAUCAGCCACACCGGAACUGAGACACGGUCCAGACUCCUACGGGAGGCAGCAGUGGGGAAUAUUGGACAAUGGGCGCAAGCCUGAUCCAGCCAUACCGCGUGGGUGAAGAAGGCCUUCGGGUUGUAAAGCCCUUUUGUUGGGAAAGAAAAGCAGCAGGUUAAUACCCCGCUGUUCUGACGGUACCCAAAGAAUAAGCACCGGCUAACUUCGUG
rnacentral:rRNA from 1 species